GGGGCUCAGGAGGGACUUUGUCUGCCCACAGGGUUGCAGGCCUGCCAGCUGGCACUGAGCACCAGGACCGUGUGGGCCCGCUGUCCAAAUGGAGACCUCGCCCGGCGGUACGGCGUCACAGACAAGAACCCCGCCGGGGACUACUGGAAGAAAAUUCCCGGCAGCGUGUCGUGUUUCACAGUGACUGCGUCAGAUGAGCUGUGGGCUGUGGGCCCGCCCGGCUACCUCCUCCAACGGCUGACAAAGAUGUUCAGCCACUCGCACGGCACCCAGAAGAGCAGCCAGGCUGCCAUGCCCCACCCCGAGGACCUGGAGGACGAGUGGGAGGUCAUCUGAAGGAGCCCUGGCAGAGUCACGCAGAGGGGCCUGGCGUCUGUAGUGGGCACAGUGGCUUCGGAGUCACUCCCUGGUGGACGUGCUGCCGCAACACUUGUCCAGACACCUCUGGCCAGGUUGGACCCGCACACUUACUUUCAUCUAUGUUGGUUUCU
rnacentral:sRNA from 1 species